rnacentral:rRNA from 1 species
CUUGAACUUUAUAAGAGGUCCAGCCUGCCCAGUGACUCUGUUCAACGGCCGCGGUAUCCUAACCGUGCGAAGGUAGCGUAAUCACUUGUUCUUUAAAUGUGGACUAGUAUGAAUGGCACUACGAGGGUUAUACUGUCUCCUUUUUCUAAUCAGUGAAACUAAUUUUCCCGUGAAGAAGCGGGAAUAUAACUAUAAGACGAGAAGACCCUAUGGAGCUUUAAACAACCCAGCAAUUACUUCUAAAAUUAUAAAUUUCAGAAUAUUCAUUUUCUAAGUAACAUGUCUGCAAGUUUUUGGUUGGGGUGACCAUGGAGAAUAACAUAACCUCCAUAUUGAAUGAAUUCCCUUCUAAGCUGAAAAUUACCUAUUGAAGCAUCAAUACACUGA